UUAGGUGCUGCUCUUCACGACCAUGUCCAAGACUCUGAAAAAGUUUGUGGAGAGCCAGGAAGUGGACAGGGUGACUAGGUCAUCUACAACAUGCUGUAUGUCAAUGGCACAUUUUCCUUAUCCCAUACCAUACAACUGGUCCUCAGCCAUAACAAGCUCACAGUGGUGCCACCAAACACAGCAGAACUGAAGAAUUUGGAAGUGCUCAACUUCCUUAAUAGCCAGAUUGAGGAGCUGCCCACACAGAUCGGCAGCCUUCAGAAACUCAAACACAUGAACCUGGGCAUGAAUGGGCUAAAUACUUUGCCUGAAGGAUUUUGCUUUCUACCCAGCUCUUGACCUUCUGGACUUGAUGUACAAUUUGAAUGAGAAUUCUCUUCCUGGAAACUUCAUCUACCUUACUACCUUCCGUGCACUCUUAUGUAAGUGACAAUGAUUUUAAAAUCCUGCAACCAGAUAUUAGGAAGCUCACAAAGUUGCAGAUACCCAGCUUUAGGGAUAACAACCUGAUCUUGCAGCCUAGGGAAACUGGGGAGUUUACCCAGCUUAAGGAACUCAACAUUCAGGGCAACUGCCUGACCCUUCUGCUCCCAGAACUAGGAAACUUAUAUUUAACUGGUCAGAAGAAGGUAUGCAAAGUGGAGAACAGCCCCUGGGUUACCCCAAUUGCUGGCCAGUUCCAGCUUGAUGUGUCCUGUGUGUCUGAAUGUGUCUGUUCUGAGACAUAUGAGUACCUCUAUGGCAGCACAUGCAGGCAAAUCCAGAACCACCAAAACAUAAUAAUCACAAAUCAGAAAAGAUGAGCUGGAAACACCUGACAGACAGUAACAAAUAA
rnacentral:lncRNA from 1 species